UACGGGGGGGGGCAAGCGUUGUUCGGAAUUACUGGGCGUAAAGGGCUCGUAGGCGGCCAACUAAGUCAGACGUGAAAUCCCUCGGCUUAACCGGGGAACUGCGUCUGAUACUGGAUGGCUUGAAUCCGGGAGAGGGAUGCGGAAUUCCAGGUGUAGCGGUGAAAUGCGUAGAUAUUGGGAGGAACACCAGUGGCGAAGGCGGCUCACUGGACCGGAACUGACGCUGAGGCGCGAAAGCGUGGGGAGCAAACAGG
rnacentral:rRNA from 1 species